rnacentral:rRNA from 1 species
UACGGAGGGGGCUAGCGUUGUUCGGAAUUACUGGGCGUAAAGCGCACGUAGGCGGCUCUGUAAGUUAGAGGUGAAAGCCCAGGGCUUAACCCUGGAAUUGCCUUUAAGACUGCAUCGCUAGAAUCGUGGAGAGGCAAGUGGAAUUCCGAGUGUAGAGGUGAAAUUCGUAGAUAUUCGGAAGAACACCAGUGGCGAAGGCGACUUACUGGACACGUAUUGACGCUGAGGUGCGAAAGCGUGGGGAGCAAACAGG